rnacentral:rRNA from 1 species
UUGUAAUUUGUAGAAGGUGCUUCGGGGGCGACGACGGUCCAAGUCCCCUGGAACUGGGCGUCACAGAGGGUGAGAAUCCCGUACGCGACCAGUCGUCAAUCCCAUGUGAAGCCCUUUCGACAAGUCGAGUUGUUUGGGAAUGCAGCUCCAAGCGGGUGGUAAAUUUCAUCUAAAGCUAAAUACCUGCCAGAGACCGAUAGCGCACAAGUAGAGUGAUCGAAAGAUGAAAAGCACUUUGAAAAGAGGGUGAAACAGUACGUGAAAUUGUUGAAAGGGAAGCGCUUGCGACCAGACUCGCUCGCGGGCGUUUGGCCGUCCCCCGGGGCGGUACCUUCCCGCGAGCGGGCCAGCAUCGGUUUCGGCGGCCGGACAAAGGUCCUGGGAACGUAGCUUCCUUCGGGGAGUGUUAUAGCCCGGGGCAAAAUGCGGCCUGCCGGGACCGAGGACCGCGCUUUUGCUAGGAUGCUGGCGUAAUGGUCGCCAGCGACCCGUCUUGAAACACGGACCAAGGAGUCAACCAAUCGCGCGAGUGUUUGGGCGUUAAACCCAUACGCGUAAUGAAAGUGAACGUAGGCGGGAGCCUUCGGGUGCACCGUCGACCGAUCUUGAUGUCUUCGGAUGGAUUUGAGUACGAGCACGAUCGGUUGGACCCGAAAGACAGUGAUCUAUGCGUGAAUAGGGUGAAGCCAGAGGAAACUCUGGUGGAGGCUCGCAGCGGUUCUGACGUGCAAAUCGAUCGUCAAAUUUGCGCAUAGGGGCGAAAGGUACGUUUGGAACGAUCAAACUACGGACGGAAUGCUAACAUCCCCUUGCAGACUAAUCGAACUGUCUAGUAGCUGGUUCCCGUCGAAGUUUCCCUCAGGAUAGCAGCAACGAGAAACAGUCUCAUGAGGUAGAGCGAACGAUUAGAGGCCUUGGGGCUUAAUUAGCCUUAACCUAUUCUCGAACUUCGAAUAUGUGAGAAGUCCUUGUUACUUAGUUGAA